GGGGGUGUAACUCAAAUGGUAGAGUGCUUACUUUGCAUGCGAGAGGCAUUGGUUCGAUCCCUUUCAUCUCCA
rnacentral:tRNA from 1 species